rnacentral:rRNA from 1 species
AGGACGAACGCUGGCGGCGUGCCUAACACAUGCAAGUCGAACGAGGUUCAUUCAGUAGCAAUACUGGAGAAGACCAAGUGGCGAACGGGUGAGUAGCACGUGAGCAACCUACCCCGAAGACCGGGACAACACCGGGAAACCGGUGCUAAUACUGGAUAUCCCCAUCGGAUCGCAUGGUUUGAUGAGGAAAUGGAUUCCGCUUCGGGAGGGGCUCGCGGCCUAUCAGCUAGUUGGUGAGGUAACGGCUCACCAAGGCGUCGACGGGUAGCUGGUCUGAGAGGACGAUCAGCCACACUGGGACUGAGACACGGCCCAGACUCCUACGGGAGGCAGCAGUGGGGAAUCUUGCACAAUGGGCGAAAGCCUGAUGCAGCAACGCCGCGUGAGGGACGAAGGCUUUCUGAGUUGUAAACCUCUUUCAGCAGGGACGAUUAUGACGGUACCUGCAGAAGAGCACCGCCAACUCGCGCCAGCAGCCGCGGUAA